UGCUCAAGGUCCCAAACACAAAGCCACUGUAGGACCCAUGAAUGCUUACUUGCUCGUUUCCAAAUUUGAGUCGUUGCUGAACGACUUCAUGGGGCAGUAGCAUCAUCAGGGUUUUCCUGUUCUGAGUAGUCACCCCUGAUGUUACCUGUUCAUAGAGUCUCCAAAGCUAUAUCGUAGAAGUCAUCAAAACACUUGCUAUAAUGCUUUUUGUCUCUUUUUUCAAAACCCUGCCGACGCCGCGGACCCUGCCGACGCUGCGGACCCUGCCCGACGCCGCGGACCCUGCCCGACGCCUCACAAGGUAAAGCAAGUGCUCAAGCUCCCAAACACAAAGCCACUGUAGGACCCAUGAAUGCUUACCUGCUCGUUUCCAAAUUUGAGUCGUUGCUGAACGACUUCAUGGGGCAGUAGCAUUAUCAGGCUUUUCCUGUUCUGAGUAGUCACCCCCGAUGUUACCUGUUCAUAGAGUCUCCAAAGCUAUAUCGUAGAAGUCAUCAAAACACUUGCUAUAAUGCUUUUUGUCUCUUUUUUCUAAACUCUGCCGACGCCGCGGACCCUGCUGACGCCGCGGACCCUGCCGACGCCUCACAAGUCUCCCAGCUCAGAGCCAACCAGCUAUUAGUCUGGCGCAACGGAUUUGUGCAUUCCUUGCACUAGCUGUUCCUUCACCUCCUCUUCACGUACAAGGACACGCGUCUCUUUCACGCUCCUUCAGGAGUAAACAAGCCAGGAGAGAUUAAAGCCUCUUUCUCCAGAAAGAUGCUUCUAGUUUCCUUAGUCUCCUUGGAGAGACAGGUAUCUGGAUAUUUAACUUGGAAGAAAGAUGAGCAACACUAGCAAGCUUCCCAAAGCAAAAUUUCCCUUUCCCCCAUACAAGGACGUAAAAAGAUGGGAAUAAUUGUGCAUUUAUGGAAGGCUGUCCCAUGUUUUUCCACUGGUUUUCAUCUGGUUUGGUUCACCUGCAGAAAGGGAAGAAGCACCAGAGCUUAUCUCCAUUUUCAAGAGAAGGCAACUGUUUCUGGGACCAAACUGUCAGGCUACAGCAUACGGAUGUAUCAAACAAAGCUUCACGUCAUCUUUCAAAUCCACCCUUUUAUUCGAAUAUUUCUUGAAAAUUAACAUUAAAAGUAGAUAGUGCUUAUACCAUCAUA